GGGUCAAGCUUUUUCGGUUAGGGACAAGAAAGAGAUGCGAUAAGAGGAGAGAGAUGGAGACCAAUCGCCCGCUGAUCUCCGGCCACUUGGCGGGGGGACAAUGCGCACCUCACUCCACCGAAAUUCUUCCUGUGUUUUGCUGAGAUAAGAUUAAGAGAAGGGAAAAGCGAAGGAUUUCAAGGACUGAUGCUAACGUGCGCCGUGGUGUAGGAUAUUGACAUCAUAACAUGCCCGUAGUCACUAGAGCGUAGGUUCGGAGAGAAGAG
rnacentral:misc_RNA from 1 species